UACGUAGGGGGCAAGCGUUGUCCGGAAUCAUUGGGCGUAAAGCGCACGUAGGCGGACUCUUAAGUCGGUGGUGAAAUCCUGGAGCUCAACUCCAGAACUGCCUUCGAUACUGAGAGUCUCGAGUCCGAGAGAGGUGAGUGGAACUGCGAGUGUAGAGGUGAAAUUCGUAGAUAUUCGCAAGAACACCAGUGGCGAAGGCGGCUCACUGGCCCGGUACUGACGCUGAGGUGCGAAAGCGUGGGGAGCAAACAGG
rnacentral:rRNA from 1 species